GGUUUUGGUUGGGAUCUUUUGAC
rnacentral:snRNA from 1 species